CAGAGGGACACGUCAGGCGCGGCCGGAGGGAAUUUGGGGACGUCUCAGGGACGUUUUGGGAUAUUUGAGGCCAUUUUUGGGGACAUUUAGGGACAUUUUUGGGGACAUUUCGGGCCGCUUUGGUGACAUUUGUGACAUUUUGGGGACAUUUUGGGACAUUUCCGUGACAUUUGGUGGCAUUUUGGUACAUUUGGGGACCUUUUGGUGACAUUUAGGGACAUUUUGGGGACAUCUGGUGACAUUUUGGGGAUAUUUUGGGCCAUUUCGGGGUCAUUUGGUGACAUUUUGGUGCAUUUUGGGGCCAUUUGGUGACAUUUUGGUACAUUUUGGGGACAUUUGGUGACAUUUUGGGACAUUUUGGGAUAUUUGAGGCCAUUUUUGGGACAUUUUUGGGCCAUUUUGGGACUCACCUGCUGGGGCCAGCCCAGGGCAGCGAAGGGGAAAAGGGCGGAGGAGAACCAGGUGUCCAAAACGUCGGGGUCUGGGGACAGGAACGCCCCCAAAACGUCCCCAAAAUAUCCCCAAAAGAUCCCCCCCCCCCCCCCCCCCCCCCCCCCCCCCCCCCCCCCCCCCCCCCCCCCCCCCCCCCCCCCCCCC
rnacentral:lncRNA from 12 species